UACGUAGGGUGCGAGCGUUGUCCGGAAUUAUUGGGCGUAAAGGGCUCGUAGGCGGUUUGUCGCGUCGGGAGUGAAAACUCAGGGCUUAACCCUGAGCCUGCUUCCGAUACGGGCAGACUAGAGGUAUGCAGGGGAGAGCGGAAUUCCUGGUGUAGCGGUGAAAUGCGUAGAUAUCGGGAGGAACACCAGUGGCGAAGGCGAUCACCUGGGGUUGUUCUGACGCUGAGGAGCGAAAGCUAGGGGAGCAAACGGG
rnacentral:rRNA from 1 species